rnacentral:misc_RNA from 1 species
UUGAAAGAAAUCUCAGGCAAGGGGGAAAAGGUGGUUGUAGCUGGCCCCAGGGGCAUGUGCACACUGUCUCUUUUUCUCUUGUUUGUUUCUUCAUCCUUUCCACUUUGUGCACUGCUUGUAGGCAGCCUGGCGAAGACAUUGUUCAGGUUGUCUAUGAUUUUUCUUUACAUACAUGAAUUGAUGUUGUACAGAGUGUAAUGAAAAAAAAAGUUAAUA